rnacentral:rRNA from 1 species
UACAGAGGAUGCAAGUGUUAUCCAAAUUUAUUGGGCGUAAAGGGUUUGUAGGUGGAAUUUGAAGUCUUUUGUAUAAUUUUUAAGCUUAACUUAAAAAAAGUAAAAGAUACUAAUAUUCUUGAGAGUGGGAGAGGUAAAGGGAAUUUUCAGUGUAGCAGUAAAAUGUGUAUAUAUUGAAAAGAACACCAAAAGCGAAGGCACUUUACUUGAUCAUAUCUAACAUUGAGGAACGAAAGCUAAGGGAGCAAACGGG